UAGGGGAGCGUUCUGUAAGCCGAUGAAGGUGUGUUGAGAAGCAUGCUGGAGGUAUCAGAAGUGCGAAUGCUGACGUGAGUAACGACAAAACGGGUGAAAAACCCGUUCGCCGAAAGACCAAGGGUUCCAGUCCAACGUUAAUCGGGGCUGGGUGAGUCGACCCCUAAGGCGAGGCCGAAAGGCGUAGUCGAUGGGAAAAUGGUUAAUAUUCCAUUACUUCUGUGUAAUGCGAUGAGAGGACGGAGAAGGCUAAAUCAGCCUGGCGUUGGUUGUCCAGGUGAAAGGAUGUAGGCAUGUAUCUUAGGCAAAUCCGGGGUACUCUAUGCUGAGAUCUGAUAGCAAGCUGUACUUGUACAGCGAAGUGGUUGAUGCCAUGCUUCCAGGAAAAGUCUCUAAGCUUCAGUUACACAGGAAUCGUACCCGAAACCGACACAGGUGGUCAGGUCGAGUAGACCAAGGCGCUUGAGAGAACUCUGCUGAAGGAACUAGGCAAAAUGGUACCGUAACUUCGGGAGAAGGUACGCUGUUGUUGGUGAUGGAACUCGCUUCCUGAGCUGACGACAGCCGCAGAAACCAGGCCGCUGCAACUGUUUAUUAAAAACAUAGCACUCUGCAAACACGAAAGUGGACGUAUAGGGUGUGAUGCCUGCCCGGUGCUGGAAGGUUAAUUGAUGGGGUUAGCGUAAGCGAAGCUCUUGAUCGAAGCCCCAGUAAACGGCGGCCGUAACUAUAACGGUCCUAAGGUAGCGAAAUUCCUUGUCGGGUAAGUUCCGACCUGCACGAAUGGCAUAAUGAUGGCGGCGCUGUCUCCAGCAGAGGCUCAGUGAAAUCGAAAUCGCUGUGAAGAUGCAGUGUACCCGCGGCUAGACGGAAAGACCCCGUGAACCUUUACUGCAGCUUGACACUGAACUUUGACCUUACUUGUGUAGGAUAGGUGGGAGGCUUUGAAGCUGGAACGCUAGUUCCAGUGGAGCCGUCCUUGAAAUACCACCCUGGUAAUGUUGAGGUUCUAACUCUGUCCCGUGAUCCGGGACGAGGACCGUGUCUGGUGGGUAGUUUGACUGGGGCGGUCUCCUCCUAAAGAGUAACGGAGGAGUACGAAGGUGCGCUCAGCGUGGUCGGAAAUCACGCGUAGAGUAUAAAGGCAAAAGCGCGCUUAACUGCGAGACCCACAAGUCGAGCAGGUACGAAAGUAGGUCUUAGUGAUCCGGUGGUUCUGUAUGGAAGGGCCAUCGCUCAACGGAUAAAUGGUACUCUGGGGAUAACAGGCUGAUACCGCCCAAGAGUUCAUAUCGACGGCGGUGUUUGGCACCUCGAUGUCGGCUCAUCUCAUCCUGGGGCUGAAGCAGGUCCCAAGGGUAUGGCUGUUCGCCAUUUAAAGAGGUACGCGAGCUGGGUUUAGAACGUCGUGAGACAGUUCGGUCCCUAUCUACCGUGGGCGCUGGAAAUUUGAGAGGAUCUGCUCCUAGUACGAGAGGACCAGAGUGGACGAACCUCUGGUGUACCGGUUGUGACGCCAGUCGCAUCGCCGGGUAGCUAUGUUCGGAAGGGAUAACCGCUGAAAGCAUCUAAGCGGGAAGCCUACCUCAAGAUAAGAUUUCCCUAGGACUUUAUGUCCUCUAAAGAGCCGUUCGAGACUAGGACGUUGAUAGGUUGGAUGUGGAAGCAUAGUGAUAUGUGAAGCUGACCAAUACUAAUUGCUCGUGAGGCUUGACUAU
rnacentral:rRNA from 1 species